rnacentral:lncRNA from 1 species
UUGAAUGAACUCGAAAUUCAUCAAGAAUGAUAUUUGAUAUUCUGCGAUAGCCAGAGUGCGAUUCAUCUUGGGAAGAAUUCCUCCUUUCAUUCAAGGUCAAAGCAUAUUGAUGUUAGAUAUCAUUGGAUCAGGGAUGUACUGGAGAUGAAGCAGUUACAACUUGCGAAGAUCCAUACAGAUGAAAAUGGAUCAGAUAUGUUAACGAAGAUUCUUCCAAAAAACAAGUUUGAAUAUUGUCGACUAGCUGCAGGGAUGAUAGAGAGUAUGGCUAACGUCCCCACUUGAGUGUGUAUGGGGAGAUUUACUGUGGUGUACCCACUCAAGUGGGACCCACAUGUUUAUUUUUUGGUGGUUUGUUAUUGGUGUGGCGGUGCCCACUCAAUUGGGACCCACACACAAUUUGAAAAAGAAAAAAAAAGGAGAAAAACAUGUUAUUUGAAAAAGAAGGAACCAGAGUUGUACACGGCUCAUUAAAUGCGUUCGUACGCGUUAACCUGCCUAUAAAUAGAGGCAGAUGCAGCACAACACAAAAAUACAUGGUAGAAGAAGAAGAAAAAAAAAUGUAGAGAGGUUAUCUAGUUUUAGGAAGGGUUCCUAAAACUAGGGGAGAGAAAAAUAGUGAGAAAAUUAUUUUGGGGUGUUUUUGGGAAAUACUUUGAGUGCCACUAUUUUGUAUUACUCUCUUUGUAAGCCUACUAAUUUUUAAUAGUAGAAGAAAUAUUCGGAUUUUGUCCUGUGAACGUAGCCCUAAACAGUUGAGGGUGAACUAUGUAAAUUUCUGUGUUCCCAUUUCUAUUAUUCCGCUGCCGUAAUUAUUCUCGUAACUUUAUUGCCGGUACCUAACGAGUGGUAUCAGAGCUGAUACCCAAAAACUGGUAUCAGAGCUGAUGCCGAACAUUCUUGUACCUUACAGUUAGGUUGCAGGCAUUUGGUAAGCUUUUUAACAGCUGUUGAUGGCUGAUAGAAGUAUCAACCAAUUGAACUAUUGAUUUUAUUAGCUAUGAGCUGGAGCUUUUUCAUAUUAUCUGCUAAUAUAAUUUUGUUAUGUUUUAAUAAGGUAGAGAUGAACCCUUAUUGGCAACAGAAGGAGCUAAGGAACAUUCUUGUACCUUACAGUUAGGUUGCAGGCAUUUGAUAAGCUUUUUAACAGCUGUUGAUGGCUGAUAGAAGUAUCAACCAAUUGAACUGUUGAUUUUAUUAGCUAUGAGUUGGAGCUUUUU